CCAGGUCCCAAGUAUUCCAGAUAACAGGUCCCAUACCUGUAUUUAUACAGUAUGUCAGAGUUUACACUGAAUGCCACAUAAAGGGUUAAAUGGGACUGUUGUCAUUAAUACAUUUAAUACAUGUUCCUUGCUAGUGUAGUCAUUUAACAGGUAAACGGAAAAUGCCUCUACUAGUCUUUCAACUAAGCAUUUAGGAGCAAAUUCUGCACUGGAUCCCCCUGAUUAAGCACUGGUGUUUCUAACCUUCUUUCAAGUAAACAUUCCAAUGAGAAAUUUACAAAACAAGUAUGCCUUACUGACCAACCCUAAUUCUGAACAUUUUGGGAGGGGGUUACAAUUCCAUAAUAAACUUGCACCACAGUUGUGUGCACUACCCACAGGUCCCUGAUUAGCCCACCUGCGCUCAGCCACACACGUAUACCUGAUACAGCUACUCUGUUCAGACUGAAGGAUUUUUUUAAAAAAUUUUCUGAUUGAUUGUGGACUUGCUUGUAAAGGAGACAGCAGAAUAAGCACAUCUUGAGACUGUUUUCCAGCAUCCUUAAACCCUCAGCGUGUGCAUUUCCCACUUGUUUGGAUUGAAUGGACUAGACUUGUGCACAUAAGGUUGAAAACAGAACCGCGGAUUUUCAGCUGGACUGAGAUCAGGACUAAGACUAGGCCAUUGCAAAACAUUCAGAACUUUGUUCUUGGUACCACCGGCACACAUAAAGUUUGUUCACUGCUAAAGAAUAUCCCAAGUGAAUAUAUUCCAUGAAAUUGGUGGACUUACCUCAGUGAAAGAAUUGUUUUCAGACCACUCUAGAAUAUGAUUUCAUAUUCAGUAAAUGCUUGGCUAGAAAUGCCUUAUGUUUAUGCCUUUUGUACCAGUACAGCCCAAGGUCAUCACAAUCCUUUAGCUGUACAGAUAUGUGCCUAGGAACCUGCUCCCCCAUCUUCUUUUCUCUUGAUUCACAGCAUGUGGUCUGGGCCACUGUCAGGUUUCAUAAUCUUACAGAUCAAUGCACAAUACACAGUUUAUUCACAUAACUAUUCUAAGACAAGGUAUGUUAGUAAAAAAAAUUCUGAUUCUUAAUUCUUAAUCCCUGAAGCAUUACCUCCUAUGAAAGACGAAACCUCAGUUUUUGCUAGUUUUGAUAAUUCCGCAUCAACGUUUUGCCUCUCAACAGCAGCCCAGAACAUACUGAGCAUGUGCAGUGCCACUGACCAGGGCCAGAACUAGGGGUAGGCAGAAGAGGCACCUGGGGGGGGUGCUGGGCAGGUACUUGUUAAAGGGUCUUCUAUCUACUCCUAGUCCAGGUUCACUCCCCUCUGUGGCUCUCCC